AGAUGACAGUAGACGCUGAAGUAUUGGAUAAGUCAAGUAGUAGUCAAUACGUAAAUUGUGACAUUUUUACAACACGUUAUGUUGAGGAUCCAACAAAGAAAAUAAGUGAAAGGAAAGACCCUAACCAAAGGUACGACUACGUUGUUAAACAGAUUUCAGAAACAAGAGGCAACCAGACGUAUGACUAUGUCGACCAAGCAACUAUCAAG